CCAUUGUCCUCUAUGGGUCCCUAAUU
rnacentral:piRNA from 1 species